CCCUUAGAUGUUCUGGGCCGCACGCGCGCUACACUGUUCGACGCAGCGAGUCUUAACCUUGACCGAAAGGUUUGGGUAAUCUUCAGCAAAGUCGAACGUGAUGGGGAUCGAUCAUUGCAAUUAUUGAUCGUGAACGAGGAAUUCCUAGUAAGUGCAAGUCAUCAGCUUGCGCUGAUUACGUCCCUGCCCUUUGUACACACCGCCCGUCGCUCCUACCGAUUGGAUGAUCCGGUGAGCUAUUCGGACCUUCGCUUCGUCGAUUUUCGGCUUUGUGAGGGAAAGUCUCGCGAACCUUAUCAUCUAGAGGAAGGAGAAGUCGUAACA
rnacentral:rRNA from 1 species